rnacentral:rRNA from 1 species
AUUGAACGCUGGCGGAAUGCUUUACACAUGCAAGUCGAACGGCAGCACGGGGGCAACCCUGGUGGCGAGUGGCGAACGGGUGAGUAAUACAUCGGAACGUGCCCAGUCGUGGGGGAUAACGUAGCGAAAGUUACGCUAAUGCCGCAUACGAUCUACGGAUGAAAGCGGGGGACCGUAAGGCCUCGCGCGACUGGAGCGGCCGAUGCCAGAUUAGGGAGUUGGUGAGGUAAAGGCUCACCAAGCCGACGAUCUGUAGCUGGUCUGGGAGGACGACCAGCCACACUGGGACUGAGACACGGCCCAGACUCCUACGGGAGGCAGCAGUGGGGAAUUUUGGACAAUGGGCGCAAGCCUGAUCCAGCCAUUCCGCGUGCAGGACGAAGGCCUUCGGGUUGUAAACUGCUUUUGUACGGAACGAAAAGGCUCUGGUUAAUACCUGGGGCUCAUGACGGUACCGUAAGAAUAAGCACCGGCUAACUACGUGCCAGCCGCCGCCGUAA